GCCAGCAGCCAUAUCACUCUGCAACUCACAACUGGCAGCCCACUGAAGCUCAGCAGGUGUGAGCCUGGUCAGUACCUGGAGGGGAGACCUCCUGGGAAAAACUAAGGUUGGUGCUGGAA
rnacentral:rRNA from 1 species